AGUGAACGCUGGCGGUAGGCCUAACACAUGCAAGUCGAACGGCAGCACAGUAAGAGCUUGCUCUUACGGGUGGCGAGUGGCGGACGGGUGAGGAAUACAUCGGAAUCUACUUUUUCGUGGGGGAUAACGUAGGGAAACUUACGCUAAUACCGCAUACGACCUACGGGUGAAAGCAGGGGAUCUUCGGACCUUGCGCGAUUGAAUGAGCCGAUGUCGGAUUAGCUAGUUGGCGGGGUAGAGGCCCACCAAGGCGACGAUCCGUAGCUGGUCUGAGAGGAUGAUCAGCCACACUGGAACUGAGACACGGUCCAGACUCCUACGGGAGGCAGCAGUGGGGAAUAUUGGACAAUGGGCGCAAGCCUGAUCCAGCCAUACCGCGUGGGUGAAGAAGGCCUUCGGGUUGUAAAGCCCUUUUGUUGGGAAAGAAAAGCAGCAGGUUAAUACCCCGCUGUUCUGACGGUACCCAAAGAAUAAGCACCGGCUAACCUCGUG
rnacentral:rRNA from 1 species